rnacentral:rRNA from 1 species
ACCCGCUGAACUUAAGCAUAUCAAUAAGCGGAGGAAAAGAAACCAACAGGGAUUGCCCUAGUAACGGCGAGUGAAGCGGCAACAGCUCAAAUUUGAAAUCUGGCGUCUUUGGCGUCCGAGUUGUAAUUUGCAGAGGGCGCUUUGGCAUUGGCAGCGGUCCAAGUUCCUUGGAACAGGACGUCACAGAGGGUGAGAAUCCCGUACGUGGUCGCUAGCCUUUACCGUGUAAAGCCCCUUCGACGAGUCGAGUUGUUUGGGAAUGCAGCUCUAAAUGGGAGGUAAAUUUCCUCUAAAGCUAAAUACUGGCCAGAGACCGAUAGCGCACAAGUAGAGUGAUCGAAAGAUGAAAAGCACUUUGGAAAGAGAGUUAAAAAGCACGUGAAAUUGUUGAAAGGGAAGCGCUUGCAGCCAGACUUGCCUGUAGUUGCUCAUCCGGGUUUUUACCCGGUGCACUCUUCUAUAGGCAGGCCAGCAUCAGUUUGGGCGGUUGGAUAAAGGUCUCUGUCAUGUACCUCUCUUCGGGGAGAACUUAUAGGGGAGACGACAUGCAACCAGCCCGGACUGAGGUCCGCGCAUCUGCUAGGAUGCUGGCGUAAUGGCUGU